AUGUCCCAGCCCGCAGCCCUGAGCGCGGGCGGUGGCAGUGGCGGCGCCGGUGUCAAGCUGGUGGCCAUGGCACGCUGCGUCUGCUGCAGCCUGAGGACGCGGGGCCAGGAACCGGCUCCAGCAUGGCCGAGACAGAAGCGCUGCUGAGACUUCGGAAGACUUCAGGAUGCAGAAUAAAUCCGUCUUUUUUUUGGGUGCCAGCGGGGAAACCGAGAGAGUGCUCUUGAAAGAAACCCUGGAGCAGGGCCUGCUUUCCAAAGUCAUGCUGACUGGCCGGAGGAAGCUCACCUUCGACGAGGAAGUUUCUAAAAACGUGAAUUCAGAAGUGCUGGACUUUGAGAAACUGGAUGACUACGCUUCUGCCUUUCAAGGUCAUGAUAUUGUAUUCUGUUGCCUGGGUACCACCAGACAGAAAGCUGGGGCGGAGGGAUUUGUUCGUGUUGAUCGAGAUUACGUCCUGAAGGCUGCAGAGCUGGCAAAAGCUGGAGGGUGCAAACAUUUCAACUUGCUAUCCUCUGAGGGAGCUGACAAGUCAAGCAAUUUUUUAUAUCUGCAAGUCAAGGGAGAAGUGGAAGCUAGGGUUGAAGAGUUGAAAUUUGAUCGUUAGUCCAUAUUUUGGCCUGGAGUUCUAUUAUGUGAUAGGCAAGAAUCUCACCCAGGUGAAUGGUUGGUUAGGAAGUUCUUUGGCUCCUUACCAGAAUCUUGAUCCAGCGGCCAUUCUCUGCCAGUGAUGACUGUGGUUGGAGCAAUGCUGAACAACGCAGUGAGACCAAGUGACAAGAAGAAACUGAUGGAUAACAAGGCCAUCCAUGACCUGGGGAAAGCUGAUGGCUCUCUCAAGCCGUGA